AAGGAAUAUUGGUCAAUGGACGCAAGUCUGAACCAGCCAUGCCGCGUGGAGGAUUAAGGCCCUCUGGGUUGUAAACUCCUUUUAUCUGGGAAGAAAUGUACUUUUUCUUGAGUACUUGACGGUACCAGAGGAAUAAGCACCGGCUAACUCCGUGCCAGCAGCCGCGGUAAUACGGAGGGUGCAAGCGUUAUCCGGAUUCACUGGGUUUAAAGGGUGCGUAGGUGGGCAGGUAAGUCAGUGGUGAAAUCUCCGGGCUUAACCCGGAAACUGCCGUUGAUACUAUUUGUCUUGUAUAUUGUGGAGGUAAGCUGAAUAUGUCAUGUAGCGGUGAAAUGCUUAGAUAUGACAUAGAACACCAAUUGCGAAGGCAGCUUACUACACAAUCAUUGACGCUGAGGCACGAAAGCGUGGGGAUCAAACA
rnacentral:rRNA from 1 species